GACGAACGCUGGCGGCGUGCCUAAUACAUGCAAGUAGAACGCUGAAGGAGGAGCUUGCUCUUCUGGAUGAGUUGCGAACGGGUGAGUAACGCGUAGGUAACCUGCCUGUUAGCGGGGGAUAACUAUUGGAAACGAUAGCUCAUACCGCAUAACAGUAGAUGUUGCAUGACAUUUACUUAAAAGAUGCAAUUUCAUCACUACCAGAUGGACCUGCGUUGUAUUAGCUAGUUGGUGGGGUAACGGCUCACCAAGGCGACGAUACAUAGCCGACCUGAGAGGGUGAUCGGCCACACUGGGACUGAGACACGGCCCAGACUCCUACGGGAGGCAGCAGUAGGGAAUCUUCGGCAAUGGACGGAAGUCUGACCGAGCAACGCCGCGUGAGUGAAGAAGGUUUUCGGAUCGUAAAGCUCUGUUGUAAGAGAAGAACGAGUGUGAGAGUGGAAAGUUCACACUGUGACGGUAGCUUACCAGAAAGGGACGGCUAACUACGUG
rnacentral:rRNA from 1 species